UACGAAGGGGGCUAGCGUUGCUCGGAAUCACUGGGCGUAAAGGGUGCGUAGGCGGGUCUUUUAAGUCAGGGGUGAAAUCCUGGAGCUCAACUCCAGAACUGCCUUUGAUACUGAGGAUCUUGAGUUCGGGAGAGGUGAGUGGAACUGCGAGUGUAGAGGUGAAAUUCGUAGAUAUUCGCAAGAACACCAGUGGCGAAGGCGGCUCACUGGCCCGGAUACUACG
rnacentral:rRNA from 1 species